rnacentral:rRNA from 1 species
UGGGGAAUAUUGCACAAUGGGCGGAAGCCUGAUGCAGCAACGCCGCGUGAGGGAUGACGGCCUUCGGGUUGUAAACCUCUUUUAGCAGGGAAGUGGUACCUGCAGAAAAGACGCCGGCUAACUACGUGCCAGCAGCCGCGGUAAUACGUAGGGCGCAAGCGUUAUCCGGAAUUAUUGGGCGUAAAGAGCUCGUAGGCGGUUUGUCGCGUCUGCUGUGAAUCUGGGGGCUCAACCCCCAGCCUGCAGUGGGUACGGGCAGACUAGAGUGCGGUAGGGGAGAUUGGAAUUCCUGGUGUAGCGGUGGAAUGCGCAGAUAUCAGGAGGAACACCGAUGGCGAAGGCAGAUCUCUGGGCCGAACUGACGCUGAGGAGCGAAAGGGUGGGGAGC